AAUCUUAAGAACACGGGGUUAGUGGGUGAUCAUGAAGACCCAUGACCUAGGUUAGUGAUCUCCAUUGCACUUGGGGAGACGCUAACUUAAGCUCUUCUCAAAUGAGGAGAGACUACGUGACAUUUUUUAGUAGUGAGGGUGUGUGUUUGCGUUGUCCCAUA